GAAAAAGGGAACUGUCUUGUAUGCUGAAUAGCAGAAAGGAUUCAAAUGGAGCGCUAGAGAGGAGGUUACACAGAGUUUUGCUGUAGUGCUGGGGCAUUUUAUUGCUAAACCAUUUGACUUUCACAUUUGGCCUUUUGUCAAGGGUUUAUUUCUUUCCUGCCCUUUGAUUAUGCUGAGUCCUAGAAGAGGUGUAAUAUUUUACUGCCUUGUGUAUAUCUUGGGCUGCCAGGAAAUGCUGGUUUCUUGGACCACCCUCCCAUCACCUCCACAUCCCAGGUCAGGAAGCAAUGCUUAAAAACAACAUGGGUGGGAACCUCAAGUCUGAGGGCCUCUCUGUUUGGCUGUUGGAAGUCUCCUCAAGCCACACCUCUCACCAGUCUUGCCUCACACCCUUCUUGCCAGCCUGGAACGGAUCCUUGACCUCUGAACUUGCUUCUUCCUUGCCUGGAUGGAGAGUGGUGUGCAAAUGUGUGUAAAAACUACCUAACUGUACAAAGGUAAAAUUUAAAAGACAUGCCCUGUUCCAGAAGGAUAGCCAACCAUUUGUUCCUAUGGCAAAAAAAGCCUAUACAUUUCUUUAGUCACGCAAAGACCCAUCCUCCCAAUAAAAGGGACCCUGUUGACAAAUUUGUCCAGUCAGUUUGACCUCUUUAGCUGGCUCUCUUUAUAUCCAGAAUCACAGGGAUUGUGUGUGUGUCCUUCAGAACCAACCACCAUUCAUCUCAUUAAGCUAUAUUAAGAGCAUAUAUUGUGGUUACUUUUGUACACCUCAUUUUAACCAGAUGUAUAUGUACUUCUGUAAGAACAACCAGAUGAGGUCCAAAAUUCAAGAAUUACCACUGGGGGCAGUCACAUCUGCUGGGUUGGCAACUUUAAGGGGAGACCAAUUUGGCCCACUGGUUUCUGACUGCUCCAAUAUAGAAUUGAAGCUGUCGAGAGUGCAUGAGAGGCUGUCCCUCCAUGUGCCUACAGUGAAGUCACUGGUAGUUCUUGAAUCAGAGGUGCAGCCACUGUGGUAAAUUAGUUCUAGUGUUGUAUGGCCUAAUUUUUAAAAAUCCUGCUUCAAGUCCAGUAGGUCUUGAAUCCACAUAAUCUUUGAUGCUGGCUGAUGUACACCCUGUUUCUGC